rnacentral:rRNA from 1 species
GAGGCGAACCGGGGGAACUGAAACAUCUAAGUACCCCGAGGAAAAGAAAUCAACCGAGAUUCCGAAAGUAGCGGCGAGCGAAAUUGGACUAGCCCUUAAGCUUUACACGCGUUAGACGAACGGUCUGGAAAGUCCGACGAUACAGGGUGAUAGUCCCGUAGUUGACGACGUGUGUUCAGUGAAAUCGAGUAGGGCGGGACACGUGAUAUCCUGUCUGAAUAUGGGGGGACCAUCCUCCAAGGCUAAAUACUACUGACUGACCGAUAGUGAACCAGUACCGUGAGGGAAAGGCGAAAAGAACCCCUGUGAGGGGAGUGAAAUAGAACCUGAAACCGUGUACGUACAAGCAGUAGGAGCACCUUCGUGGUGUGACUGCGUACCUUUUGUAUAAUGGGUCAGCGACUUAUAUUCAGUGGCAAGGUUAACCAUCUAGGGGAGCCGUAGGGAAACCGAGUCUUAACUGGGCGUUCAGUCUCUGGAUAUAGACCCGAAACCAGGUGAUCUAGCCAUGGGCAGGUUGAAGGUUGAGUAACAUCAACUGGAGGACCGAACCGACUAAUGUUGAAAAAUUAGCGGAUGACUUGUGGCUAGGGGUGAAAGGCCAAUCAAACCUGGAGAUAGCUGGUUCUCCCCGAAAGCUAUUUAGGUAGCGCCUCGGACGAAUACUACUGGGGGUAGAGCACUGUUAAGGCUAGGGGGUCAUCCCGACUUACCAACCCUUUGCAAACUCCGAAUACCAGUAAGUACUAUCCGGGAGACACACGGCGGGUGCUAACGUCCGUCGUGGAGAGGGAAACAACCCAGACCGCCAGCUAAGGUCCCAAAUUACUACUAAGUGGGAAACGAUGUGGGAAGGCUCAGACAGCCAGGAUGUUGGCUUAGAAGCAGCCAUCAUUUAAAGAAAGCGUAAUAGCUCACUGGUCGAGUCGGCCUGCGCGGAAGAUGUAACGGGGCUAAGUAGUAAACCGAAGCUGCGGCAAUACUCUUUGAGUAUUGGGUAGGGGAGCGUUCUGUAAGCGGUUGAAGGUGUGUGGUAACGCAUGCUGGACGUAUCAGAAGUGCGAAUGCUGACAUGAGUAACGAUAAAGGGGGUGAAAAACCUCCUCGCCGGAAGACCAAGGGUUCCUGUCCAACGUUAAUCGGGGCAGGGUAAGUCGACCCCUAAGGCGAGGCCGAAAGGCGUAGUCGAUGGGAAACGGGUUAAUAUUCCCGUACUUCUUACAAUUGCGAUGGGGGGACGGAGAAGGCUAGGUGGGCCUGGCGACGGUUGUCCAGGUUCAAGUGCGUAGGCUUAAGAGUUAGGUAAAUCCGGCUCUUUUUAAGGCUGAGACACGACGUCGAGCCACUACGGUGGUGAAGUCAUUGAUGCCAUGCUUCCAGGAAAAGCCUCUAAGCUUCAGAUUGUAAGGAAUCGUACCCCAAACCGACACAGGUGGUCGGGUAGAGAAUACCAAGGCGCUUGAGAGAACUCGGGUGAAGGAACUAGGCAAAAUGGUACCGUAACUUCGGGAGAAGGUACGCUCUUGAUGGUGAAGUCCCUUGCGGAUGGAGCUGACGAGAGUCGCAGAUACCAGGUGGCUGCAACUGUUUAUUAAAAACACAGCACUGUGCAAAAUCGUAAGAUGACGUAUACGGUGUGACGCCUGCCCGGUGCCGGAAGGUUAAUUGAUGGGGUUAGACUUCGGUCGAAGCUCUUGAUCGAAGCCCCGGUAAACGGCGGCCGUAACUAUAACGGUCCUAAGGUAGCGAAAUUCCUUGUCGGGUAAGUUCCGACCUGCACGAAUGGCGUAAUGAUGGCCACGCUGUCUCCACCCGAGACUCAGUGAAAUUGAAAUCGCUGUGAAGAUGCAGUGUACCCGCGGCUAGACGGAAAGACCCCGUGAACCUUUACUACAGCUUGGCACUGAACAUUGACCCUACAUGUGUAGGAUAGGUGGGAGGCUUUGAAGCACGUACGCCAGUAUGUGUGGAGCCGUCCUUGAAAUACCACCCUUGUAGUGUUGAUGUUCUAACGUUGACCCCUAAUCGGGGUUGCGGACAGUGCCUGGUGGGUAGUUUGACUGGGGCGGUCUCCUCCCAAAGAGUAACGGAGGAGCACGAAGGUGGGCUAAUCACGGUUGGACAUCGUGAGGUUAGUGCAAUGGCAUAAGCCCGCUUGACUGCGAGAAUGACAAUUCGAGCAGGUGCGAAAGCAGGUCAUAGUGAUCCGGUGGUUCUGAAUGGAAGGGCCAUCGCUCAACGGAUAAAAGGUACUCCGGGGAUAACAGGCUGAUACCGCCCAAGAGUUCAUAUCGACGGCGGUGUUUGGCACCUCGAUGUCGGCUCAUCACAUCCUGGGGCUGAAGUCGGUCCCAAGGGUAUGGCUGUUCGCCAUUUAAAGUGGUACGCGAGCUGGGUUUAGAACGUCGUGAGACAGUUCGGUCCCUAUCUGCCGUGGGCGUUGGAAGAUUGAAGGGGGCUGCUCCUAGUACGAGAGGACCGGAGUGGACGAACCUCUGGUGUUCGGGUUGUGUCGCCAGACGCAUUGCCCGGUAGCUAAGUUCGGAAUCGAUAACCGCUGAAAGCAUCUAAGCGGGAAGCGAGCCCUGAGAUGAGUCUUCCCUGAUACUUUAAGUAUCCUAAAGGGUUGUCGGAGACUACGACGUUGAUAGGUCAGGUGUGUAAGUGCUGUGAGGCAUUGAGCUAACUGAUACUAAUUGCCCGUGAGGCUUAACCAUACAACACCCAAGGGGUUU